rnacentral:lncRNA from 1 species
UUAAUCUACAUGAAAAUCAAGACAGAAACUAACUUCCUUCCUUCUUGUAUGACUCACCUCACGCUAUUAUUGAAAGCAUGCGAAGUGUUGCCAUAGGUAGAGAGUUCUAUUUUACGCCACUCGCUAAUUUCAACUGCCUUAUUUCUUCCUCAGUGAUGUUUCCCAGACCGUCGCCAAUAGCCCAUAGUGCAGCUCUAGUGCGAUGUAAAUGAACAAACAAGCGGCCUUAUUUCUCGGUGGCUGUGCUGCACAGCAACCUCCUGCUAUGUAUUAAGCCUCAACCCUAAACUACAUUAAUGGGAAAAUAGAGCUAUAAGCUAAUGCAAAGAUUUCGAGGCGAUCUAUAUCAAUUCGGCUAGUAUUGUUUAUUUAGUUUGAAGGUAAAAGUACCUACUAAAAAAUCAUUAGCAUACCCUUAAUUAUUUAAUGAAAUAGUUUGAAAUAUUCCUAUAUGUGCAUCAGCAUUAGUCAAUUUUAAUUAAAGAAUGGUGAAUAUGAGUAUCUACGGGUAUGAGUAUCUCCAUCAGUACCUGCGCUAAAGAUAUUGCCAAGUUUUGGCCCCUUCUUGGCA